CUCUGCAUUGUUUGUGAGUUAGUGUUACCUUAUAGUUUAGUUAUUUUAAGCCCAUCUGUCAACGUUGAGAUAAUUGUGUGGUGCUUUCAUCUCUUGUAGAGACAUAACGAUCCAGAUGGCGACACAUUACCUGAGCUGCAGCCGUGCAACAAGUGUUGCAGUAAUUACCACUGCCCUUUUUGCUCAGCCAGGGUGCUUAAGCCAGCCAAGCUGGUCAAAGUAAAAACUCAUCUUCAAAGCCACUUCAACAAGGCUUUUGUCUGUGGAGGCUUUACUAUACACAGAUGUGGACUAGGAUGUCGACCAGCACCGCAUCACCACUGUCCAUACUGUGAAACUGUUUUAAGGAGAAGUGAUUUUGAGACACAUGUACAGGUUUGCAAACAAAAACCUGAGAAAGAUUUCAGAGAAGACAGUCCUGUUUAUCCUCCAAAUGAUCCGGGGCUAAAUAAUAUGGUAUGUUACAUUCUUCAGCACAAGAAGAUACCUGUUGAUCUACCAGAUGAUGUGCGGGUACCAUCACCAAACAAAGAUUACCCAAGAAGCCUUUGUCCAGAUGGAUGUAUCUGUCAGAUUUGUCCAGGUGUCGUCCCCCUCAGGGUUCGCACCCUAAUUACAAAGAAGGCUAAAAUACUCACAAACUGGUCCAUAAUUGAAGAUGUUGCCACUUAUUGUAAGCAGUGCCCACUAUGUGGAAUGUUCUACCAUUACCAGGAGUGGAAAGACCACCUACAUAACUUCAAUGACCACAACAUCCUAGCCAUACCCUUAUGUCUAACCUUGAGAAGCCUUCUCCAGGUGCAUACAUCUGUGAGCAGAGGUGUUGAUUUUUUGGAAGAUUUAACAGGAUUGAAGUUUCCGCCAGCUGACACUAUAUGCUUCAUGCGUAUUUACACUUUGAGGCCCUUACAGCACAUGAAUACAGGUAUUCAUGUCUCACCUGUGAUUAUCCCCCAGUGGUGAUAAUGGAUCUACACAAAAAGGGUGUUAUCAAUCAUUUUUCUUUCCAACUUUUUUUAAUGGAUUUAUGGUAUUUUAAAAUAGUUUUGCCUGAAUUAGUCAAAGUUGAAGUAAAAUGAAUUUAAUUUAGAGGUGGCAGGACUCCACACAAGCUAGAACUGCCAAUGUGUGCCAUUAUUCUUCUACAGUAUUAUACUGAACU